UACGUAGGGGGCAAGCGUUGUCCGGAUUUAUUGGGCGUAAAGAGCGUGUAGGCGGCCUUACAGGUCAGCUGUGAAAACUCGAGGCUCAACCUCGAGACGUCGGUUGAAACCGUAAGGCUAGAGUCCGGAAGAGGAGAGUGGAAUUCCCGGUGUAGCGGUGAAAUGCGCAGAUAUCGGGAAGAACACCGAUGGCGAAGGCAGGUCUCUGGGCCACUACUGACGCUGAGAAGCGAAAGCAUGGGGAGCGAACAGG
rnacentral:rRNA from 1 species